CAGCCGCCGCGGUAAUACCGAGGAUGCAAGCGUUAUUUGGAAUGAUUUGGCGUAAAGCGUCUGUAGGUGGCUUUUCAAGUCCGUCGUCAAAUCCCAGGGCUCAACCCUAGACAGACAGUGUAAACUGCCAAGCUGGAGUACGGUAGGGGCAGAGGGAAUUUCUGGUGGAGUGGUGAAAUGCGUUGAGAUCGGAGGAACACCGAUGGCGAAGGCAAUCCCCUGGGCCUGCACUGACGCUCAUGCACGAAAGCGUGGGGAGCAAACAGGAUUAGAUACCCCGGUAGUCCCUGUCUCUUAUACC
rnacentral:rRNA from 1 species